rnacentral:lncRNA from 10 species
AAGUACAGUGAAAUGCCAGUGGUUCAUUGCCUGGAAUAUUGAAGGAAAUGUUAUGUGUUAGUAAAAAUGAAGAAACUUUCUUCCCAUCAAAAUUGUCAGACCUAAAAUCUAUACAGGUUAAGAACUCCUGUUUUUAACCUGAUUUCCUCCCCCCCACCUCCACACAUGCACACACACACUUUUUUUUUGGUAAAAUGGAUUUAUAAUUCCCUCCCUUCAGUAAAUCAGAAGGUUAAAUUCAAUAGCUUAAAGAACUUAGUACCUGUCUUAUGGACCCUAAAGAUAGUGUCUUGGUAAUGCUGGAUACUGUCUUACAAGGAUAUCCUGAAGCAUACCUAAAAUUUUAAUGGGUGAUAAAAGUUAUGUCAAUGUCUUAAGCGUUUCUCCCCCACCCCCCAACAUAGGAUUGAAGUUUUCUUUUGUUUUUUGUUUUUUUGAGACGGAGUCUCGCUCUGUCUCCCAGGCUGGAAUGCAGUGGC